rnacentral:rRNA from 1 species
UACGUAGGGUGCAAGCGUUAAUCGGAAUUACUGGGCGUAAAGCGUGCGCAGGCGGUGAUGUAAGACAGUGUGAAAUCCCCGGGCUCAACCUGGGAACUGCAUCUGUGACUGCAUCGCUGGAGUGCGGCAGAGGGGGGAUGGAAUUCCACGUGUAGCGGUGAAAUGCGUAGAGAUGUGGAGGAACACCAAUGGCGAAGGCAGCCUUCUGGGCCAACACUGACGCUCAUGCACGAAAGCGUGGGGAGCAAACAGG